rnacentral:sRNA from 1 species
GGCCCAGGGGCCUGACAUCGCUCCCAGCGCUCGAGGACCGAGGCCUGCUGUGGAGGACACCGUGCUCCCUCGGGACCUGCUCUGGAUUCCGGCCCGGACGUCCCCUCGGAGCUCUGCAUCUCCAACCUGGAACCCAACCCAGAAGUCUCAAGUUUGACGCAUCACGUGGCGUGCGGAUCCACUGAGGGUCCACAGAGAGGGGCGCCCAUCUCCUGCGUCGCAGUUAUCCUGGUAAUUGUGUAUCUGCCCAUUGUUCGUUGCCUCAUUAACUUGACUUUCUAGGUGCACCCACCUUGCCACCAGAGAAGUCCAAAUCCUGACUUCUCUCCAAGGUGUUGGGAAUUCUGUGCCCUAAAGAAUUCCGACUCAGAUCCGAACGGGGAUCUGGUGGAAUCGAGGGUGAAAGACCAGAGGGACAAUGUUCUACUAUCCCAACGUGCUUCAGCGCCACACCGGCUGCUUUGCCACCAUCUGGCUGGCGGCGACUCGCGGCAGCCGGUUGGUGAAGCGCGAAUACCUGAGGGUGAAUGUGGUGAAGACCUGCGAGGAAAUCCUCAAUUACGUGCUGGUACGAGUGCAACCUCCGCAGCCCGGCCUGCCGCGGCCCCGCUUCUCCCUCUAUCUCUCAGCCCAACUUCAGAUCGGUGUGAUCCGCGUCUAUUCUCAACAAUGCCAGUACCUCGUGGAGGACAUCCAGCACAUCUUGGAGCGCCUCCACCGUGCCCAGCUGCAGAUCCGAAUAGAUAUGGAGACUGAGCUACCCAGCCUGCUGCUUCCUAACCACCUGGCCAUAAUGGAGACCCUAGAAGACGCUCCAGAUCCCUUUUUUGGGAUGAUGUCUGUGGAUCCCAGACUUCCUAGUCCUUUCGAUAUCCCUCAGAUUCGACACCUCUUAGAGGCUGCAAUCCCAGAGAGAGUUGAAGAGAUCCCUCCUGAAGUCCCUACAGAGCCCAGGGAGCCAGAGAGGAUUCCAGUCACUGUGCUGCCACCUGAGGCCAUCACGAUCCUGGAGGCAGAGCCCAUACGGAUGCUGGAGAUUGAGGGUGAACGGGAGCUCCCAGAGGUCAGCCGCCGAGAACUGGAGCUGCUGAUCGCAGAGGAAGAAGAAGCUAUCUUGUUAGAAAUCCCGCGGCUCCCACCUCCAGCUCCUGCAGAGGUGGAAGGAAUAGCAGAGGCACUGGGUCCUGAGGAGCUGAGGCCGACAGGCUGGGAACCUGGGGCCCUACUCAUGGGUGAGUGCUCACCAUGCCCCAGGGGCUUUUCUGGGAGUACCUGGAUACUGCUGCAGACAAGGGCUUUAUAUCCCAACUUGCUAGAGGGAGGACCCUGCAGUUUCUUGCCCUGGCAUCUGCAAGGGGUAAGGGGCUUAUGGGACAGAGCCCCUUGGGUGUUGUUGCAGAGGUGACCCCCCCGGAGGAGCUGCGUCUGCCAGCCCCACCCAGCCCAGAGGUGAGUAGCCUCCCUUCUAAUCCUCCUCCUCCUCCUCUUUGCCCUCCCCCACAAGGACUGCCUCCCCAAGCCCAGGGCCACUGCUAGCUUACAGGGGUCCUUAGUGCAGAUGAUAAAAGAUGCCCCUUUCUACACCCCAUCGUAUCUGGCCUACGCUUCCCAGAUGGGUACCCUUAUGCAAGGUAUGAGCUGCUCAAGUGCAUGGCGACCCCGCACAAGCCCUCUCCAGGUUCCUCUAGGGGCGGGUGUGGGGUCCUGUUAGCAGUCCACCAGAAUGACAGGAAAAGGAGUAAUGGGCAGCCUUGCCCCUACCUGCCCUCCCGACUCAACAGAGGAGGCCCCCAGUCCCCCCACCUCCUCGCCGCCGCCGUCGUCGCCGGUUACUGUUCUGGGACAAGGAGACUCAGAUCUCCCCGGAGAAAUUCCAGGAACAACUGCAAACCAGAGCCCACUGCUGGGAAUGUCCCAUGGUGCAGCCUCCCGAGAGGACCAUCAGAGGCCCUGUGGAGUUGUUCAGAACCCCAACUCUCUCUGGCUGGCUACCCCCUGAACUACUGGGUCUCUGGACCCAUUGUGCCCAGCCACCCCCAAAAGCCCUCAGGCGAGAGCUGCCUGAGGAGGCAGCCGCUGAGGAGGAAAGGAGAAAGAUUGAAGUUCCAAGUGAGAUUGAGGUCCCGAGGGAGGCCCUGGAGCCCAGUGUUCCCCUUAUGGUGUCUUUAGAGAUCUCCCUAGAGGCAGCUGAAGAGGAGAAGUCCCGCAUCAGCCUCAUCCCACCAGAAGAACGGUGGGCCUGGGCUGAGGUGGAGGCGCCAGAAGCUCCUGCAUUGCCCGUGGUGCCUGAACUCCCUGAGGUGCCCAUGGAGAUGCCUUUGGUGCUGCCCCCAGAGCUCGAGCUGCUCUCACUGGAAGCAGUGCACAGGUACCAGGGAGGUGGCACCUUGAUGGGGUGGACCCGGGCUGAAGCCUCUGCUAAUGGUUCUUGAUCUCUAUAGGGCAGUGGCACUGGAGCUGCAGGCUAACAGGGAGCCUGACUUCAGCAGCCUGGUGUCACCUCUCAGCCCCCGCAGGAUGGCUGCCCGGGUCUUCUACCUGCUCCUGGUGCUCUCAGCGCAACAGAUUCUUCACGUGAAACAAGAAAAGCCAUAUGGUCGCCUCCUGAUCCAGCCGGGGCCCAGAUUCCACUGAGGUUAGAGUCCAUUUACAAAGCUGCCAGAAAACCGGCCACUUCUAGUAAACCACGUCGUGCCUCACUGGGUCCUGCUUACCUCAUUUCUGAAUGUGCAUUUCCAGCCUUCUUGCUCUCAGAGCUAUUGUUCAAGCAGAAAACAAGCUGCUUUUAUUACA